rnacentral:sRNA from 1 species
CCUUAGCCUUGAUCGCAGCGGCAUCCUUUGUCUUUUUUCUUUAAAAAGACAAAGAUAUAGCGGAGAGCAAGUACCCUA